GUUUAAUAAAAGCAUUAUAUUAUAUAUUGUACCAUUUAGAUGAGAGUCUAUAAGCAUGGUGUUAUAAUGAAAUACUUCUUGUUCAAUUAAUAUAAAAUCACAGUUCUUUGUAGGUAUUUAUACUACAACAUCUCUAAACAUAUGCCAUAUAUAUCAUAUUGAAGUAUUCUUUAAGUUUUGUUCCUACUCUAUAUAUUUGAUUUGAUAACCUUUUACUCUUAUCGCAUGUCAGAAUUUAAUGUCUUUUGUUUUUGGUUUUCACACUAAAACUUUAAAGAAGAGUUAAUGCCAAAUAGAUACAUCAUAUCCUUAAUAUUAGUUUAGCAAAAUUAAAUUAAUACAAAAUUUUAAAUCACGAAUCAUACGUAUUUUGGCAAUUAUUGGACUUUUAAUAGAUAUCUAACUUUGAUCUUACUGACAUAACAUAUAUUUAAUUAUGCAAUGAGAUGAGAUUUGAUUUGGCAAUAAAGUGACAGAUAUAUAGGAUCAUCGAGAUUUCAGAUUCUAAGCUAGACAGUUUAUGUUGUUAUAAGCUUCCAACUAAAGAAAACUAUAAAUUGUUUGAGACUGUGGUCAUACCUCAUUAGUAUAGGGCUUGAUCGCAGAAACAAUCAAAUCAUCACCAAUCACCUUACGGAUGUGUUUGGCCAUUUCAUGACAAGUAAUUUUUUUCUUCUGCAUAUUAUAAACAUUUUACAUAAAUCGGCCUCAUACAAGAUAAAAAAUAGAUAUAAAUGUCCACAAAUACCAAAAAUACCCAAAAGAUACUUCUCUUACUAUGAAACCAUGUCGAAUCAUUGUUCUCAGAUGUUCCAUUAACAUUGAAAGAGCUUGAUGCAUGAGGGGCUUUCUCUGUUUUUUUGCUACUGAGCUUUGUCUGACAUAAUUAUCCUUUUUCCAAUUGAAAAUAGUCAAGUCAAUGGAAAAUUAUAAAUAUCAACCUAUACAAUGCAAUAAAAAAAGAAAAAAAAAUAUUACUAUAUGGAACUUUCUUACUACUAUUGAAUUCGAGUCUGAAUUAUGGCUUUCAUAGCUAAUUUUGUCUGAUCUGAAUCCAAACCUGAGUACUUUUGUGAAUCUAAAUAGAACAUUAAUCGAUGUAGAACCUAAAUGGUUUUUACACUAGUAAUAUCUUUAAAAAGCUAUUAUAAUUUGAUACUAAAUGUUUCAUGAUCUUGCCAUUAGAUUACACUUUUUGUUUCGUUUUUAUUGCCUUUUUUAGUUAUAGUGCAUUAAGCCUUAUGACAAUUAUCACUAGUCUUGCUGCCUAUACAAUCACCCAAAAUAAUAAUAAUAAUAAUAAUCCUCUAGCUAUUGGUUAUUUGGAUACAAUCUUAGGGAGACUUAAUUAUAGCUGACUAUUUAGUCUUUUGCAGAUAGUAAGUAGUUCGAUUAUGGCAGAAUAUCCUUUAUUACCAUAUGAUAAGUUCUACUACUAAAGUAGUGAGAGGGAUAUGUUCAGUUAUCAAUCAUUGUAAUUUUAUUUUGAGAGAAUUCGGUAAUUUCUACGGGUUUAUGUAGUUGUAUGCUCUUACUGUGUGAAUAUCCUGGUUCGACCCCUGCUCUCGUCUGAAUGAUAUACUCAAUGUCAUUGAGCGAGUCCAAGAGGCUUUCUGUAUUGUCAUACUCUUCUUUCAGCAUUAACCAUCUUUUACUCCCUUUUUUGUGCAAUAAACAGGUUUGCUUUUUUCUUUUCUGCGUGAAUCGUUUGUGAACUUUUCAGAUGUUCUGUGUCGCCGCUUUUCCUUCCUUUAGCUACUCAAAUGUUUCAGUUCGAAUUUGAAAAUUUCACUCUUCGCUCUUCUAUGGAUUGGAAUUCCAAGGCACAAGGGUCAUUCAUCCUUUAUGGAAAUCUGAUGAUGAGAGCCUAAAUGCUGAAUAGUCCAAGAAGAGUGCUUAUUCCUUGAGAGCUGGAAAACUCAAUCCUUUCCAAGAAAACCUUAUCUUUUAGCGGUCAUCUGAGGUUUGUUUUAGAACCAAAAUCGAUGUUGGCGAAUGAGCAGGAACAGAAGCUCAAGGACAGUCAGACUGCUGCGGUUUCUUUGCAGGUCUUCUUGCCUUCCUCACCUUAGCGGCUUUAGCUUUGUUCGAUAUUGUUUGCGGAGAAAAUCGUUUGAUCCAUUGCGGUGUUCAUUACAAACUUCAGACGUUUACAACGAAAACAAAAAUUAGUCUUUUUAUAAGACUUUUACACAAUGAAAACAAAACAAAAGUACAAUUCUCU